rnacentral:tRNA from 1 species
GUCCAGGGCAGCCUAGUGGACAUGGCAUCUGCCCGGUAAGCGGAUCACUGUGGGUUCGAUUCCCAUCCCCGGACA